rnacentral:rRNA from 1 species
AACGAACGCUGGCGGCAUGCCUAACACAUGCAAGUCGAACGAGACCUUCGGGUCUAGUGGCGCACGGGUGCGUAACGCGUGGGAACCUGCCCUUAGGUUCGGAAUAACUCCCCGAAAGGGGUGCUAAUGCCGGAUAAUGUCUUCGGACCAAAGAUUUAUCGCCUUUGGAUGGGCCCGCGUUGGAUUAGCUAGUUGGUAGGGUAAAAGCCUACCAAGGCGACGAUCCAUAGCUGGUCUGAGAGGAUGAUCAGCCACACUGGGACUGAGACACGGCCCAGACUCCUACGGGAAGCAGCAGUGGGGAAUAUUGGACAAUGGGCGAAAGCCUGAUCCAGCAAUGCCGCGUGAGUGAUGAAGGCCUUAGGGUUGUAAAGCUCUUUUACCCGGGAUGAUAAUGACAGUACCGGGAGAAUAAGCUCCGGCUAACUCCGUG